rnacentral:rRNA from 1 species
UACGUAGGGUGCGAGCGUUGUCCGGAAUUAUUGGGCGUAAAGGGCUCGUAGGCGGCCAACUAAGUCGGACGUGAAAUCCCCAGGCUCAACCUGGGAACUGCGUCCGAUACUGGAUGGCUUGAAUUCGGGAGAGGGAUGCAGAAUUCCAGGUGUAGCGGUGAAAUGCGUAGAUAUCUGGAGGAAUACCGGUGGCGAAGGCGGCAUCCUGGACCGACAUUGACGCUGAGGAGCGAAAGCUAGGGGAGCAAACGGG